UGCCGUAAAGGGAAACAAGGUUUGAAAGAGCAGCGCCGUAAGCGCGCUCGUCGGGGCCGUGAGCGCGCCCCGGGGCCGGCCGGUCAGAUCGGGAGCGCGCCCCAAGGCCCAGCCCUGUUUCCUUCUAGCGGGCGGGCGUAGAAGCUAGCGGCCAGCGCUGGUCGGUCUGGUAAGUGCCUGGUGCCGAGUUGCGUCUCUCGCGUCUUUUCCUGUUCCCAGGCAAAGCGGAGCGGAGAUCCUCAAACGUCCUAGUGCUUCGCGCCUCCGGUGAAAAUCAAAGGUCUAAUUAAUUCCUCUGGUUUGUUGAAGCAGUUACCAAGAAUCUUCACCCCCUUCCCACAAAGGCUACGGUUGAGUCCACGUUCCUGUUGACUUACAAAAGGUGCAGGUAUGAGCAGAUCUGAAGACUAACAUUUUGUGAAUUUGUAAAACAGAAAGCCUGUUUGAAAUGUGGUGGUUUCAGCAAGGCCUAAGUUUCCUUCCUUCAGCUCUUGUAAUUUGGACAUCUGCUGCUUUCAUAUUUUCAUACAUUACUGCAGUAACACUCCACCAUAUAGACCCGGCUUUACCUUAUAUCAGUGACACUGGUACACUGGCUCCAGAAAAAUGCUUAUUUGGGGCAAUGCUAAAUAUUGCGGCAGUUUUAUGCGUUGCUACCAUUUAUGUUCGUUAUAAACAAGUUCAUGCUCUGAGUCCUGAAGAGAACGUUAUCAUCAAAUUAAACAAGGCUGGCCUUGUACUUGGAAUACUGAGUUGUUUAGGACUUGCUGUUGUGGCAAACUUCCAGAAAACAGCCCUUUUUGCUGCACAUGUAAGUGGAGCUGUGCUUACCUUUGGUAUGGGCUCAUUAUAUAUGUUUGUUCAGACCAUCCUUUCCUACCAAAUGCAGCCCAAAAUCCAUGGCAAACAAGUCUUCUGGAUCAGACUAUUGUUGGUUAUCUGGUGUGGAUGCUGACUUGCUCAUCAAUUUUGCACAGUGGCAAUUUUGGGACUGAUUUAGAACAGAAACUCCAUUGGAGCCCCGAGGACAAAGGUUAUGUGCUUCACAUGAUCACUACCGCAGCAGAAUGGUCUAUGUCAUUUUCCUUCUUUGGUUUUUUCCUGACUUACAUUCGUGAUUUUCAGAAAAUUUCUUUACGGGUGGAAGCCAAUUUACAUGGAUUAAACCUCUAUGACACUGCACCUUGCCCUAUUAACGGUGAACGAACACGGCUACUUUCCAGAGAUAUUUGAUGAAAGGAUAAAAUAUUUCUGUAAUGAUUAUGAUUCUCAGGGAUUGGGGAAAGGUUCACAGAAGUUGCUUAUUCUGCUCUGAAAUUUUCAACCAGUUAAUCAAGGCUGACAGUAACAUUGAUGAAUACUGAUAAUCAGGAAACAUGAAAGAAGCCAUUCGAUAGAUUAUUUUAAAGGAUAUCAUCAAGAAGACUAUUAAAAACACCUAUGCCUAUACUUUUCUAUCCUAGAAAAUAAAGUCGAAAGACUAUGAUAUCAUAGUUUUUUAUACCUUAAGAGAAACAACCUGACGUGCACCAAUCAGUCUGCACAUCUAGCCCUUCACAUUUUAUAAAUUAUUGCAGAUCAUGUUUUGUUAGGAGCACUUUUAUGAGAGACAUUUUCCAUGACUGAAUAAUCAGCAUUGGUCAGUAAAUCCUUUAGAAAUGGGUUUUGAAAUGGGAGUUUUAUCAUAUUAAAUCAUUUCUUACAGUCUUAAAUUUUUUGUUAUUGUUCUGGAAUCUACCUGUAAAGGAAAGUAGACCUGGAUUCGUGUGAGCUCUUUCAUGGCUUAAGUUUUGCCCAAGAGAUUUUGUAGGUGAUGAUUUUUUUUUUUUUUUUUUUUCCUGGUCACAAUGCCAGAUACUAAGCUGAUUGGUCUGUCAUACACAUGCUUGCAGUAGUUUCAUGCAGUUUAGUCUCUGGUGUGAGACUGUAAUCACCAAUGAAGGAGAAAGGUACCUAUAGGUAAAUUUAGUCAUAUUUUAUAUGAAACAAGGGUUAGUAUUCAUAUAACAUUGAGAAGUUUGGGAAUAACAGCAGAUAUGAUUAAUAUCAAACAGAAGUCAUAACCGUAGUCAAGAGCUUCUUAGAUUUUUGUUUAUAGCAAGUUAUAAUUACAUGUAAAAGUAGUCUUGAACAGGUAAAUAUUGAGCCUUUUUAAUGGGAUGUAACCUUUGUAGAGCCCAAAUUCUAAAGAACAAAAUUGGCAAUCCAAUUAAACUACAUGCAAAAUAA